AGGGACUGUUCCUAUGCGCGUCUAGUGCUACUGGUACUGUGUACUGUCUGUGUACAUGUUCUGGCAUGUACUCAGUUAUAAUGCCGAGUAAUCAUGGUAAUGGCAGCUGACUUUAUUUUUGGAGAAACACUAGUCCUGGAGUGUCAUUGUAGUAAAACGUAACAAUGAAUGGCGAUAGCAUCUAGGAAGGAUCGCUACCCUGACGUGAAAGAAAGGCCUUGCGCGGCUGCUCUACGAAGUGUUGCAGAAAGACUCAAAGUUAGUUGCUGGACGAACAACUCGCUGGGGCCGGAAAACCUGGCCCCAACGAUGGAGUUUGGUGAAUCAUCAAGCAUAAUAUCUUGUAGCAGUGUUCACCGAGGAAGGAGAACGCUCUAGCCGCUGCUGUUGUCCGUUUCAUCCACGUUGGGCGUGAGCUGCACCGCGCCUAUUGUGUUUUAGUAUUCCAUGGACACACAUUAGCAUUCAGAGCGAUUGUGGAGCCACAAUUUACUUCACACGGCGUUGUAUUGUCCACGAGCGCAAACUUAAUUAUCAGCAGUAACUGUUACUCUUCAUCCUACAUGUAGACUUGGAGUAUACACGGCCUUGUCACGACAGCGACAGCUCUACAGAUCAUGCAGAGUGUUCAAGUGAGAAACAUUAAUUUCUAUUGUUGGUGGACGAAUAAAUGGCAGGUUCCGAAAAAACGCGGCCUGCACCGAUGGUGUUUGGUGGAUCAUCAAACAGGGUGACCAGCAGUGUUCACCGAGGAAGGAGAAUGCACUCGCCACCACUCCGAUUCAUCCAAGUGGGCGUUAGCUGCGCCGCGCCUAUUGUGUUUUAGUAUUCCAUGGACGCACACUAGAGUUCUCAGCGAUUGUGGAGCCACAACAUAUCUUCAUGCGGCGUUGCACUGUCCAAGAGCAGAAACGUCAGCAGUGACCCAUCAUCAUACAUGUAGAUUUGGAGUAUACACACCAUGCGCCAAUGGGCCUCGGCACAACAGCGGCAGCUCUACGGAGUGUUCAAGUGAGAAACAUUUGUUUCGACUUUUGGUGGACGAACAAAUCGUCGGUGCCGAAAAACGUGGCCUGCGCCGAUGGUGCUUGAAACAUCAAGCAUGGCAUGUGGUGACUGUCAGUGUUGAUCGAGGAAGGAGAACACUCAGGCCGUCGACCGUUCAUCCAUUUCGUUAGCUGCACCAAGCCUAUUGUGUCCUUGUAUUCCAUGGGCACACAAUCAUGAAGCAUGGCGUCUGAGCUGUGUUCACAGAGCGGGGAGAUGCUCUUGCUGCUAUCUUAUCUGUCCUGUGUAUUCCCAAGUGCCGAAGGCUCACAACGAUGGUGUUGGACAAGUCAGAUAAAAUAGAGUCAACAUCGUCACACGGUGCUGUGACCAAGAUACGGAUCAUGCCGAACGCUGAUUCAACUGGACGAAUCGCGAGGCUUUUCAGAUGCAGGGACACAAUGGAAACUGAAUGACUUCAGAACAGCACUGCUUGGCGCGUCUAUACAGCAUCAUUUGGCACAGCAAGAUGACAAAACAGCUAGCAGUGGCUAUUGGUGAGAAAAUUUCUGCUGUGCCAUUGGAGUGUGCACGAUACACGAACCCUGCUCUUUUGUUGGCACCGCCUAUGUAACUUACUGCAUAGGGUGCAAGGUGACCGUUGUCGGUUUACAUGUACUCCAGUUAUUACACCGUGCAUGCACUGAGUCUGUGCUGCACUGUGCAUCCAUAGGUGUUCGUUUGCGGUAGCGCAAGGUGACACGCAAGGUUGAUGUAUUGUGUCGUCCGCUGCUAUUUGAAGCUCUCGGAGUCGGAAGCAUUGCCUCUGUUUCCCCUGUUCCUCCCUGCGCGGAGUCUGUAGUUCUGGCUUGCAGUCGCUGUUACAUGCAUGUUGGCAGUUGCAUGUGUUUUGGUUUUCAGUUGUCUUUAUUUGUUUUGUGUGGACGACAGUUCAAUAUUCUAGCAGUUGUUACACUACCCAUGUUCCGUAGUUAUCUGCUGUUGGUGUUUGAGAGAGCAAACUGUGUUCUUCUCCAGAGUGGAGUAAACCA